ACAACAGGCAGGAGGAGCGGCCUGGCUUUGUCUGAGUCAGGCAGCCCAGCGUGUGGGAUGCCAGGCUGGAUGUGCUGGGCCUGACCAGCCGCCCGCUUUCCUCUUCUCUUGCCUCUGCCUGCCCCCUGGUGGACAGUCGGGGUAAAGCAUGGGAGUGCACCUUUGGGGUCUCGGUGGGGCUGAAAUACGACUCCUCCCCUAGGACAGCCUGCCUCCCCCAGCCUUGUUCUCUGGCAAAGUCAAUUUCCUGGAGAAUCGAGGCUCUGCCUCAGAUGUUCGGAGCCUCCGCAGGAUGAACACCUCCAUUUCAAUUCCAGGGGCCUUGAUCAACCUGUGCCUCCCUUGAUGCCCAACUUAUGGGCACCUUCCCUUAAGCAGUGCCCCCACGAGGUACACCUUUCCCGGGAAACAAAAAUCAUUCCUUCUUUGGGUCCUGCAAGCUGUAAAGAACCAAUACAGUACUGAGAUAUUGAACAUGUUGCCACUAUAAAAGCCCCUUGUGUUUCGAAGAGUACAUCUCUAUAGCCAUUCUUUUAUUCAUCAGAAACCAGCUAGAAUCCAGGCCCUGUGCUGGACGCUGGAGACAUGGAAGAAACUGGGCUGAGGCUCCCGCCUUGAAGAGCUUGUGGCCCAGGGAAGGGACAGUUCCUUCCCUGUCCCUUCAAUGGGACAAGGGCAAUCUGUCAUUGAUUGCCACGUGACAGUGUCUAUGAUGCUAAAAAGAUGCCAGUUUUGUGCUGCAGGAGCAAAGGCCGUGGAGGAAGAGGCUUUGGCUUUGUUGCGAGUUCUUGCCAGAGUGAGGCAAAGCCAGUCACCGCUUUGUUCAGAUGACUCAGGUAAAUAAAUGAGGCCGCACAGGCUGUCCUGACACCACACACCUCUAGAAUACCCUGGCUGUGCUGGGAGCUAUUGGUGUCAGCUGAGUAUUUUCAUCCCUGUCCAAGUCACAAUGAUCUGACUGUACCAGCCUGUGUGGAUGUUGCUAAGAGGAGGCAGACAGCACCAUGAGCUCCCUUAGAUGACGAUCGGCAUGAUGAUCCUGCUGUGGCAGCGCUCAGCUCUUGCCAGUGCUCUUCUCUGCUUUGCUCACUUUAAGCCUCCCUUAAUUUUUUUGAAGCCCAGUUUCCACAUUGCUGAUUCACAGAUAUGCAAGACUCAGGCAGGAAAAAAAAAGUGUCUCCUUUUCCAGACUUCUUAGGACUUGGAAAGAAAAUGAAAUGACGUUGAAUGAAAUCAAAGUAAAUUGAGUGAUCUGAAACGAUUUGAUGUCAGCAAGAAUUCCCCAUACAGCUCACAGCCCUCUCCCCAGCACGCCUCCCUCUUGGGUAUGGUGAGUUCAGCUCCAAAUUUAUUCUGACAAGAAAGCACAGGCAAUGGCUCCAGUGGGUCUAAAUCAGGUGAAAAUUCAAAGCAACCACCCUUCCUGGACAACCUUCUGCUUUCCCAGUGCUUAUCAUGGUCUGAAAAUUCCUAUUUAAAGAAGCAGAGCUUUCUUUUAAGUCCUAACAGAACAAAGUCACACUCAACAGUGCACAGGCACACGCCGGGCUCGAGAAUGCAUUUUUGGCAGAAAGACUCCUCUUUUCUCUGUCUCCUCCAGCUCUCUGCAGACCCAAACCUUGCAGAAGCCAUUCCAUGUUCCCUGAGCAGGAAAAGACAAACUCAGACCGACAACCUUGGACUUCAAAAGACGGCACACAAGGGGAGGAAGGACUGAGAGUACCAAGGCGUGAAAAUUCAGAAUGCUGCUAUCUCAUUUAUUUUUACCAUUUAGGAACCGUUUUGAUCUGCAUUCUUUUCCCUCCCCUGAUUUCAAAAAAUAAAAAUAAAAAUGCUUCGGUUCUGAGGAGUAACUCUCCAGAUGGAAGGGGAAGAUCAGGGGAUGAAUGGGGGAGGGCUGCUUGCGUCCUCUCCCCUGCCACACACACGCUCCCUGUUUCAGCCAGUGUAAAAAUAGCCGCCCAGGUUUAUGUAUUCAUCCCUCAGCUGCAAUGAAGCGCCUGCCUCCCGGCCAGAGUCCGCUGCCUUUUAGUAGCUUAUAACAUCAGGUGACGCCUCCAGCCCUCCCAUUCCCCGCCCCAGCCCGGAUAAACAUCCUCCGUGACCUUAGAAGUUUUCAGUUUAAUCAGCGGUAUCGUUUUUGAGAGGAAAAUCCUCCCAGCUUUGCGGGCUGGCAGGGCUCUGGGGCCCUCCCCUGCCUCCCAGCCCAGGCCGCAGAGCGAGAGCGUUUCCAUCUGUGCUGCGAGCGGGAAGAGCCUCUCUGUGCUCCCCGGCACGUCCAGCGCGCGGGCGGGAACACGCUCUCUUGUGGGGGGCAGCUUUCCCAGGGACCUUGCCUAACGAGGGCCAGGCGGCUCCCCCGUGGGCCCCGAAUGGCUCCUGGCAGGCAGACUCCUAUCCCUGUCGAGAGCACUGAUUUCCCCAGCAUCGGGGGAGGCAGCCGCGCCCGCCUGGAGCCAGGCAAUCCAGCGGUCAGGCGGCGGCGAGGGCCUGCGCGUGCGCAGAAAAGAGCUGCCUCCUCGCCAGGCUGGGGCCCGAGGGCGGAGGAUGGAGGGCGAGGGCGCAUGCGUCAGCCGUGCCGCUGAGGCCGCGUAGGAGAACUGAGCUGCUGGGUCCUGCCGUCAGUGCAGUUUCUUGGCAGCACGUUGGGGACACUGCGCCAUUAGAAGAGAGCCACAGAAUGUUAAAGGAACAACGUGUGAAAUGAAAGACCUCAGGUGCUGUAUUGGCUCUUGACAGCUCUUCAGAAGAAAGCACCUCCUGCCUGUUCUGUUCAGUCCUGGUGCAGCUUGCAGGAAGCCAAAUGACCCACCGGCUUACCCACAUCGCAGGAAGCUUUGGAGCAGAGUCAGUGACUAUGUGAACCUGCCUCAACCUCUGCUCCCUGAUUCAGCAUUUGGCUUGGGAAAAAUGCCACUAUUUCCUGUCUCUUAAACAUUAUUUCAAGGCGCAGGUCUUCCACCAUUCUGAGGGGCAGGGGGAUCUUUGAGUUCUGCCAGGAGCUGGGGGUUAGGGGUAGGGGAAUGCUGCCCAAGAGAAAUGACUAGAAUCUUUGUCAGGCUGUGGAACACAGGCAUUUCUGGGGAGGCGGCCUCCCCUUUGGCCUCUCCUGGCAUCUACACUGCAAAGUCCCCUGUAUCUACUGAAAGGGGUGAGGGUGGGGGCAUUCAUUGGUACUGGGAGGCAAGCUUUGAGUGGAAAAGAGCUUCUCUCGUGGCCCUCCGGUGAGCCACACUAGAGGAGGCCCCAGAUGCACGGCGCUCCCUGCUCAGACUCACACUUGCCUGACUCCCUCCCUCGUGCUCUUCUUUCGGCUGCCCUUACCUGGGGGGCUACAGUGGCUGUGGGGGUGCAGUGGGAGUUGGGGGAGUGGCAUACCUCACUACCUGCCUUUUCCCAAGUCCCUUUAAUUAAGCCAAAUCUUUGUAUGAAUGUAAAACACAAGUAGGCUUUAUCCCUGGGCCCUGUGCUCCUCUGCCCCAGAUUCUGACUCAAGGGCUUGGAGCAGACUUAUUUUUAUUAAAAGCCCAAGUGAUUCGAUUGCAGGUGGUCCUGGACAACACUUUGAAAAAUGCUGGGGCAGAAACAAGCCAGCAAGCAUAUGGGAUUCAUCUGCUGUGAGUGAUAAUUUAUCUAGUUUCUAAAUAUAGUGUUAUAGGCUGGACUGUGUCCCCUUCGCCUCCCCCCCGCCGCCAUGCAUAUAUUGACGCCCUAACCCCUAGCACCUCAGAAUGUGACUGUAUUUGGAAACAGGGCCUUUAAAGAAGUAAUUAAGUUAAAAUGAGGUCAUUAGGGUGGGCUCUAAUGCAGUAUAACUGGUGUCCUUAUAAGAAGAGAUUAGGACACAGAUGCACACAGAGGGAAGACCAUAUGAACACAGAGGGAGAAGACAGCCACCUGCAAGCCACAGAGAGAGCCCUUCAAAGAAACCAACCCUGCAGACAAUUUGAUCUCAGGUUUCUGGCCUCCAGAAUUAUGAGAAAAUAAAUUUCUGUUGUUUAAGUC